AUUGAACGCUGGCGGCAGGCCUAACACAUGCAAGUCGAACGAGUGGCGGACGGGUGAGUAAUGUCUGGGAAACUGCCUGAUGGCGGGGGAUAACUACUGGAAACGGUAGCUCAUACCGCAUACCAUCGGAUGUGCCCAGAUGGGAUUAGCUAGUGGUUGGGGUAACGUCUCACAUAGGCGUCGAUCCCUAACUGGUCUGAGAGGAUGACCAGCCACACUGGAACUGAGACACGGUCCAGACUCCUACGGGAGGAAGCAUUGGGGAAUAUUGCACAAUGGGCGCAAGCCUUAUGCAGCCAUGCCGCGUGUAUGAAGAAGGCCUUCGGGUUGUAAAGUACUUUCAGCGGGGAGGCGUUACCCGCAGAAGAAGCACCGGCUAACUCCGUGCCAGCAGCCGCGGUAAUAC
rnacentral:rRNA from 1 species